GCCAGUGUUGCUCAGUGGUUGGAGCAUUGGCCUGUGCAAUGAAGGAUUGUGGGUUCGAUUCCCAGUCAAGGGCA
rnacentral:tRNA from 1 species